GAGUUCUCGUUGAUGAUCGGUGCUUGCACCGAGAUUCAACAUCCGUCGAGUGGCGGACGGGUGAGUAACACGUGGGUAACCUGCCCUUAAGUGGGGGAUAACAUUUGGAAACAGAUGCUAAUACCGCAUAGAUCCAAGAACCGCAUGGUUCUUGGCUGAAAGAUGGCGUAAGCUAUCGCUUUUGGAUGGACCCGCGGCGUAUUAGCUAGUUGGUGAGGUAACGGCUCACCAAGGCGAUGAUACGUAGCCGAACUGAGAGGUUGAUCGGCCACAUUGGGACUGAGACACGGCCCAAACUCCUACGGGAGGCAGCAGUAGGGAAUCUUCCACAAUGGACGCAAGUCUGAUGGAGCAACGCCGCGUGAGUGAAGAAGGCUUUCGGGUCGUAAAACUCUGUUGUUGGAGAAGAAUGGUCGGCAGAGUAACUGUUGUCGGCGUGACGGUAUCCAACCAGAAAGCCACGGCUAACUACGUGCCAGCAGCCGCGGUAAUACGUAGGUGGCAAGCGUUAUCCGGAUUUAUUGGGCGUAAAGCGAGCGCAGGCGGUUUUUUAAGUCUGAUGUGAAAGCCCUCGGCUUAACCGAGGAAGCGCAUCGGAAACUGGGAAACUUGAGUGCAGAAGAGGACAGUGGAACUCCAUGUGUAGCGGUGAAAUGCGUAGAUAUAUGGAAGAACACCAGUGGCGAAGGCGGCUGUCUGGUCUGUAACUGACGCUGAGGCUCGAAAGCAUGGGUAGCGAACAGGAUUAGAUACCCUGGUAGUCCAUGCCGUAAACGAUGAAUGC
rnacentral:rRNA from 1 species